GAGCUGUAAUAGUAGUAGAAAAACCUCCCAUCCCGAGUUGGCUUAAGCCAUGCCUUUACUAAAGAAUUAUCGCCAUCUCAGAUAAAAUCUGGUGUGGAGCCCAGGCUAGCCAACAAUGAGAAAUGCCUUCCUCUUUUUUGUUGAUUUAGGUGACGUAGUCUUAUCCGAUGAAUGGCAGUGAGAAGGCGGAAAAGGUCGUAAAGGGCUAA
rnacentral:lncRNA from 1 species